UAAAGGCCAGGGGCAUACAGCCCAUUCAUGAGGUCCACAGGGGCGGGUCUCAAGGGCAGUCCUGGCUAGGGAACACAGAGAGUACAAGGGGCUCUCUUGGGAAGGGAGGGAAGUGGUUCCCAUUUCUCCACAGUUUUCUGGGAUCAGUACAAAAGGGGCAGAUUCUGUCCAGCUCAAGAUACUGAGGCUUUUUAAAUUCCUCCAAGCAAAGCAGGACCCAGGAAGGGCCAUAGCCAGAGACAAGCCUCAGGCGCAUCAAAGCCCACCUCCCCACAAGGCAGCCUGGAAGACAGGAGUGUAAAAAUCACAGCAGACUCCAACCCUAAACCGAUUUGGGAUUAUUGAGGUUAGAAUAAGGGGAAAGAGAAAGCAGAUCUCUCUUUAGGAAAAAGGUUUCCAUCUACAAGCUACCCAUACACCUGUUCUUUAUGGAGACAAAGGGCAGUUGGAAAAAUUAGAAAAGCAGAUAUUUUUUUUUUUUUUAUUAGGAUUUGAUGCUGGUGUCUUAAGAAUUCGAGUUUAUAUUAAAAAUGUGAAAGUGCCAAACCUCAAAGCAAGUCUGUGGAUCCGAAGUAAGUGGGAUGGUAGCAGAGAAGAAAAACGCAGGCGGGUUGCGAUACAGAGCCGCCCUGGAGGCCUCUGGACUGGCUCAUCUGGCAUUCCGCAGCGCUCAGGUGCGGGAUCGCAGGGCUCGCGAGCGCUUGUUCCAGCUCAUUGCCACGGAGCAGUGCUUCUUCACCCCACCUUUCUGCCAUGAUGUUCUGCCUCACCCUGGGCCCAGAGCAAUGGAAUCAGCUGAUAAUGGAGGACUGAACCUCUGAAACUGUGAGCCAAAAUAAACUUUUCUUUCCUGAA